rnacentral:rRNA from 1 species
CCCCUAGAUGUACGCGGCCGCACGUGUUCUACAAUGACACUAGCAACAAGUAUGUCCUGCUCCGAUAGGAGUUCGGGUAAUCUUCAUAGUUAGUGUCGCGCUUAGGAUUGUCUUUUGUAAUUAUAGGACAUGAAUUAGGAAUUCCUAGUAUAGGUACGUCAUCAUCGUGCCUAGAUUAGGUCCCUGCCCUUUGUACACACCGCCCGUCGCUCCUACCGAUUGAGAGAUUCAGUAAACCUUCUGGAGUGGGUAGGAUCUUCAAGGUUCAAUCUGCGAAGUUAAGUAAACUAUUAUCUCUUAGAGGAAGGAGAAGUCGUAACA